rnacentral:rRNA from 1 species
GCAUCGAUGAAGAACGCAGCGAAAUGCGAUAAGUAAUAUGAAUUGCAGAUUUUCGUGAAUCAUCGAAUCUUUGAACGCACAUUGCGCCCUCUGGUAUUCCAUAGGGCAUGCCUGUUUGAGCGUCAUUUCACUCUCAAACCUUUUGGUUUGGUGAUGAGCAGUACGGCCUUUUUGAGGGCGUUUGCUUGAAAUGAAAUGGCACGAUGGUACUAAAAGGUACACCACGGAUUAUUCAAUGUAUUAGGUUUAUCCAACUCGUUGAAGCAAACCGGGGAGGUAACUUUGGUACGUUGGUCGGGCCAGCUAACAAACACACAAGAUUGACCUCAAAUCAGGUAAGAAUACCCGCUGAACUUAAGCAUAUCAAUAAGCGGAGGAA